rnacentral:rRNA from 1 species
CGAGCGUUAAUCGGAAUUACUGGGCGUAAAGACGCAUGCAGGUGGUUUGGUUUAAGUUCAGAUGUGAAAGACCCGGGGCGUCAACCUCCGGAAAUUGCAUUUGUAAACUAGGCAGACUAGAGUACUGUAGAGGGGGGUAGGAAUUUCAGGUGUAGCGGUGAAAUGCGUAGAGAUCUGAAGGAAUACCGGUGGCGAAGGCGGCCCCCUCGGACAGAUACUGACACUCAGAUGCGAAAGCGUGGGGAGCAAACAGGAUUAGAUACCCCUGGUAG